rnacentral:lncRNA from 1 species
GUACUUGUUAAGCUCAUGGUACCGUUUAGUCAAGUAAACGCUUCUUUAGCUUUUAUCUCUUUUUAGACAUAUAGCAUUUAACUUGUUUAACCUUUCUUUCACAUUAUAUCUUUUAAUAUGUUUUGUCAUAGACAUUGUCUUGACUUAUUUUGUUUUCGAGAGAACUUGAAUACCUAUUACAAGUAUUAUAAGCAUAGAACGUUUAACUCAAUCUCUC